UCGAUCCAAAUUUCAAACCAACUCGCUCACGGUUGCUCUCGAUCAUUCUCACCGCGUUUCCGAAAUUUCACUCAAUCGUUCCUUAAACUCCACUCUCAGUCCUUUAGAAUGGCUUUGGAUCAUUCGAAAUUGAUCUCAAUCGUUUGAAGUCGCAUUUCAUCAUUCUCGUUCCAACUCAAUCAGAAUCGUUCAUCGUUCUCAACUGAAAUUUGUUCGAAAUCGCAUGUUGUAAAGAUGAAUUUGAGGGUUGCUGGAAGUGAUUUAAGGGGAUUAAGUUCCUUGAUGCUUGAAGAGCUUGACUUUACUGAUUGCUGUGGCAUGAAGGACAUUGGUAAACCAGAAUUUUUCUAGAAUCUCUCUUAUUGAAUUUGUAAAGAGAUUGGAGUCGUGUUAUGCACAAACAUAUCGGACAUGGAAUUGGCACACAUUGCCUGCAACUGCACAAAGUUGCCCGAACUUGACCUCUAUUGGUAAAUGAACUUCAGUCAAUGUGGCUAAAUGUUUUUUAUUCAACAAAAUUGCAGACAAAGUGGUAAGCCUGUUUUGUUCAUUCUUUUUUCUUAUUGCAGCGGUGUACAUAUAGUAUAUGAUGGGCUAGCAGCACUCGCAUCUCACAAACCACACAAUAUUCUAUAAGUAGAUGACGCCCAUAGUUUAUUAAAGCUUGAUUGUUGUUGUCUUUUGAAGUGAUCAUCUUGAACUUCUUUUAUUUGUGAUUAUGAUAUUAUUAUUAUAUUAAUUGGAUGGAUGCUAGAUGUCGAAUUAAAGUGUUGUUGAAACUCUAGUUUCAGUUUUAAAUCAUGUGUAUACUCUGAAGCAAUAACCACUGAUGUUAUAACUAGGAUCAUAUUGUUUUAAAGCCAAAUGUUAUUUUGACCUUGAUCUCAUUUUAAUACAGAUGGGAGUUGUCAGUUCCAGAUUGGGAUCUACCACAAGCACUUGAAGAUGAAUAUGGAGGAUGGGUUAGUCGAAGAAUUAUGAAGUAAAGGUUCCUUGGGAAUUGUAACCAAGGUUUCGAUACUUACCCCACCAAAGUUAUCUUCAGUUAAUGUGGCUUUUCUCGCUUGCAAAGAUUAUAGUUGCUGCCAGGCACAGACAAUGUUCUACUAUUCUUAUUCUAGAAGUUAUCUUCAGUUAAUGUUCUACAAUAUUCUAGAAGUAGUAGUCUAGUAGACACAUUUGCUUUGCACUGCUAUAAAAGUCAAAGUUAUCUGAAAUUUGUAUCUAAAAUGUCUUGAGUACUCAUAUGGUAUUUUUGCUAUGCUAUCCAAUUAUCCUUGCUAUGAUGAGACACUUAUCCUUCCUACUCAAUGUCAAUAGAAGUGCCAGAACACAUGAUUAAGUAGCGGGGAAUUAGUAACAGUGAUGUGCUUCGCCGUCUAACUAAAUGAAAUACAAUUGGGAGGUAGGUUUCUUGUUCCUUAUUUUCUACAUGUGAGCUAAAUGAAUUAGUAACAAAAGAUUUAUUUGCUUUGAUAAAUGUUGUAUUUUUGCUAUUUGCUUUGCUAUAUGUUCUAAUUUGUAUUAAAUGUGAAUUAAAUGAUACUCUUGGGCAAUAAUUUGGUGAAGAGUUCAUUUUUUAUGUUUUGGUUUGAAUGUGUAAGGUUGUUGUAAGAGUGUUUUAUUUUCCCUAAAAUGUAUCUUUACUCUAUAUUUGUGAGUAAUUUGUUUUGAGAAUUUGGAUGUAACGUAUUUUCAACAAUGUAGUUAUUGUAUUAAAUUUAUAUGGAUCAAUUUGAUGUAUUUUAUUGAA